GAUGAAGAACGUAGCGAAAUGCGAUACUUGGUGUGAAUUGCAGAAUCCCGUGAACCAUCGAGUCUUUGAACGCAAGUUGCGCCCGAAGCCACUAGGCCGAGGGCACGCCUGCCUGGGCGUCACACGCCGUUGCUCCCCCAUCUACUCCUUCGGGAUUGCGGGGGGGCGGAUGAUGGCCUCCCGUGCGCCUAGCCGCGCGGUUGGCAUAAAUACCAAGUCCUCGGCGACGCACGCCACGACAAUCGGUGGUUGCGAAACCUCGGUUGCCCGUCGUGUGCGUUCGUCGCGCAUCGAGGGCUCGAAAAAAUGCUCGGCUCCGGCUGGGCUUUCAACGCGACCCCAGGUCAGGCGGGGUUACCCGCUGAACUUAAGCAUAUCAAUAAGCGGAGGA
rnacentral:misc_RNA from 1 species